CCUACGGGGGGCAGCAGUGGGGAAUAUUGCACAAUGGGCGCAAGCCUGAUGCAGCCAUGCCGCGUGUGUGAAGAAGGCCUUCGGGUUGUAAAGCACUUUCAGAGGGGAGGAAGGCUUGUCGGUUAAUACCCGACAAGAUUGACGUUACCCUCAGAAGAAGCACCGGCUAACUCCGUGCCAGCAGCCGCGGUAAUACGGAGGGUGCAAGCGUUAAUCGGAAUUACUGGGCGUAAAGCGCGCGUAGGCGGUUUGUUAAGCGAGAUGUGAAAGCCCCGGGCUUAACCUGGGAAUUGCAUUUCGAACUGGCAAGCUAGAGUGUAGAAGAGGGGUGUGGAAUUUCCGGUGUAGCGGUGAAAUGCGUAGAGAUCGGAAGGAACACCAGUGGCGAAGGCGACACCCUGGUCUAACACUGACGCUGAGGUGCGAAAGCGUGGGUAGCA
rnacentral:rRNA from 1 species